GGCCAAGCAAGCCAGGAAGGAGGCUGGCAGAGCUCCCUGCAGCAGAGCAGACCAUCCAGCACAGCUUUUGCCAGAUCCAAAGAACUGUAGUCUCAACAGCAAAAUGGCCACUUACCUACCCUAAAGAGCACUAUUGUUCUGAGCUCCUCAACGUACCCUGCGGUAUAACAGAACCUAGGCCACAAUGAAAAAAAAAUAGUGCACUAGGAGCACUGAGAUGAUAAUGUGAACCCUUCGAGGCAAUGCAUCUUUCUUUGCUUGC